CUCUUCCUGCUCCUCCUCUUGGCUUGCCUGGUAUUUCCUCUGACCGUCCUGAGGCAUCAUGGGAGCAUCUGGACAAAUUUUCUUAAGGGAUUGAAAGGAACUGCAGUUGACGACCGCAGAGUCCGAACACUCACAAUCGUCAUUUCAUCAUUUUGCAUGGGAGCAAAGUCGUACAGUGCAAAUUGACCAAUAUUAAAAGUUCGGGGAAAGUUUUUCAAAACAGAAUGUCGGCGUUGCUUUAAUACCACUCAGUAAUAAAAUAGCCUGUGUAGUCUCAAGCUCCUCUGAACCGCUCAAUUCCAAUUUUUUCAAUCCACCCUAGGUCACUUUCAUGUGUGGUCCGAGAUCGGAUAUGUAUCCGAUUUUACGCAAUGCAAUCCGGACUGAAAGAUUUAAAAGUGAGCGUCAUCCCAAAGUAGUUAGAGGUUAGGAAUGGAAUUCCAGUAUAAACAUAUUCUAUAAAUACUUGAACAUUGUGGACAUGGACUCCGGGCGUGGGGGGGGG